UUUUCAGAACUGGCAGUUUAACAGCUGCCACCGGUAUUUUUUCAUGCUAUCGUUGCCAACGGUCGCUGUGCAUUAUGCGUAACCCUCGUACGCACCCUCAGUAUAUUUUCAAAUACGAUCCUGAAUAGUGUCCUUGGUGAAUCUGUGAAAAGAAUUUACGAAAAUGGGAUUAAAACUUUAUCGUUUCUUCAAAAUAUUUCGUGAAAACAUUUUGGUGUUAUGGCUACAAAUCGAUUCUGAUUAGCGGCUACGUUGUCUAGUCAAGCAUUAAUCAUGGACUCGUAGUUAUAGCCGGGUGUCUCGAGGUCAGGGUCAUGUUUAGCGUACACGGAGAAAGCGGGAAAAAAGAAACUGUGGUCGCCUUAUCCAAUCGAGGAGAAACGACUCUCGGGCGAAGAGAAAAAGCUGAUUGGGACACGAUCGAAGGGUGAAAAAGUUGAAAGAAAGUUAGCCUCUGUUUCUGCCAGGAAGGAAGAAGCUAUUAAUGAAACUUAUCUUCAAUUUUCACCAGAUGGAAAUCGAAAAGAGAUAUAAUUGAGUCUAACUAGAAUAUUAACAG